ACACAUGCAAGUCGAGGGGCAGCAUCAUCAAAGCUUGCUUUGAUGGAUGGCGACCGGCGCACGGGUGAGUAACACGUAUCCAACCUGCCGACAACACUGGGAUAGCCUUUCGAAAGAAAGAUUAAUACCGGAUGGCAUAAUUAUUCCGCAUGGGAUAAUUAUUAAAGAAUUUCGGUUGUCGAUGGGGAUGCGUUCCAUUAGGCAGUUGGCGGGGUAACGGCCCACCAAACCUACGAUGGAUAGGGGUUCUGAGAGGAAGGUCCCCCACAUUGGAACUGAGACACGGUCCAAACUCCUACGGGAGGCAGCAGUGAGGAAUAUUGGUCAAUGGACGAGAGUCUGAACCAGCCAAGUAGCGUGAAGGAUGACUGCCCUAUGGGUUGUAAACUUCUUUUAUACGGGAAUAAAGUGAGCCACGUGUGGCUUUUUGUAUGUACCGUAUGAAUAAGGAUCGGCUAACUCCGUGCCAGCAGCCGCGGUAAUACGGAGGAUUCGAGCGUUAUCCGGAUUUAUUGGGUUUAAAGGGAGCGUAGGCGGGUUGUUAAGUCAGUUGUGAAAGUUUGCGGCUCAACCGUAAAAUUGCAGUUGAUACUGGCGACCUUGAGUGCAACAGAGGUAGGCGGAAUUCGUGGUGUAGCGG
rnacentral:rRNA from 1 species